rnacentral:rRNA from 1 species
UACGUAGGGUGCGAGCGUUGUCCGGAAUUAUUGGGCGUAAAGGGCUCGUAGGCGGUUUGUCGCGUCGGGGGUGAAAACCCAGGGCUUAACCCUGGGCUGGCUUCCGAUACGGGCAGACUAGAGGUAUGCAGGGGAGAACGGAAUUCCUGGUGUAGCGGUGAAAUGCGCAGAUAUCAAGAGGAACACCUGAGGUGAAGACGGGUUGCUGGGCUGACACUGACGCUGAGGCGCGAAAGCUAGGGUAGCAAACGGG